AGAGGACAAGUGAGACACCACUCUGGACGGACGGGUUAGCAACAUACCACACUGACCAAACUGACCACACUGACCGAUACCUUUCAGAUCAUCUUGAAAAUGGCGUCUUUGUGGAUGGUAUUGAUUGACAGCAUUAUGCUGUGGUCAGCACAAUUUGUGAUGGUAUCGACAGAAUCUCCAUGCCCGGAAAUAGCUCAUCUUUCGGGAUCCUACGCCGUCUCUGCAAAGAUUGUUUACGAUCAUUUCGCUUGGGUACGCCCCCACGACAACCAGAAUGUUGUCACUUGUAGUCCACAAUGCAGCGGCACGACUACGUACUCUGCAAGCAAGAAGAAUGCCGAAAAUAUAACCACCCUUACGAUAGGGAGCGUUCAGAUCAGAGAUAAUGGCACAUGGGUCAUUUCCGACACAAGUUCUGUCGGAGUGCCUGCAUGCCAUUUAACGGUCGCAGGUCUGCCAAACUGCACCAUCACCAGCUCUCUGGCAUACGAUUCCCUUGAACCCAAUUCAGAGCUGACACUGGUCGCAGGCAUACGGGGAUACUACUGCUCAAAACAGGCAGGGUUUGAACUAACUACAGGCCGUGACGUACCCGAGGUGUUGCUGAAGAACAAAACAGUUACUAAUGCCACUGACAUCGUCCUCAACACCACCUUCAACGUUACCCUAAGAGGACUUGGAAAUGUUCAACUGGACUUUACGUGUGACAACACAACAUUUAAUCUUUCCUGUCGUGGAGUGACGAAACUUCUCAAAAGUCCUCCGGAGUGUGACAUUAGCAGCUCCAGGAAUGGAUCCCUGAUUCCUGGUACAAACCUGACUCUCACUGUCAACAUCACCAACUACUACUGCACCGAGGAGGCUGCGUUCGAUCUCAUCACCGGAAGUGUCCAGCAGGAGCUGGUACCCAGACACCACGUUGUCGACAUUAACAGUACUGUCGUCAGCAAGACCUGGGAGUCACAUCUGCGCAUGACGGGGACAUUAAAGUCAACUUUAAAUGUGACGGGACAUAUCGUGAACUUAGCUGCAGCGGCGACAAGAAGAUAAUUGUAGUUGGAGCGACAUCAACUGCAACACCACCAACGUCAACGCCUGCAUCAUCUCCAACUACAUCGACAUCGACAGGAAGUGACACCACAACCACCUCCAUCUCCUCCUCCAUCACCACCUCCAUCUCCACCUCCACCUCCAUCACCACGUCCACCACUACACCUCCAACACCUGCAUCUGUACCUGUGUACCUCAUCAUAGGUAUAGUGAUUGCGUUGCUCGUGCUGCUCAUCAUCAUCUUUGUCCUGAUUGUCUUUCGUAACAGAAUCGCACGGGUUGCCCGGAAGUACAGCGUCACAAGGAAAAGGCCCAAGGUUCGGAACUUGAAGGAAAAUGAUAAACCCAACAAAGGGAAACGCAUGUCCCAAAUCAACCCUGACAAAAAGGCUGACUUUGAUCAAAAUGUUCUUGGAUCCACCGCUGAUCCUGCUUCAGAACACAAAGGAGCAUCAGUUAAAGAGAUGCCAAUAUAGCCGAUGGAUGUAAUAGAGACUAUGUUUUAAGGAAAUUCAGAGGUGUAAAACUAUAUGGUAGUCUGUUUUGAACAGCUUCUUAUUAUAUGAAUGAAAGUCCGAGAAAAUUGAUCAAAACUUUCAGCUAUUUUCAUUUUGAAAAUAAUGAUGCUCUUGCAUUAUCGAAAGUAAAAGAGACACAUAGCAAACUUGACAGUCGGAGUGAAACACUUGGCUGUUAUUGUGCCAAUGAAAUAGGAUACUUAGUGUGCAUUUGUUUCUCAAUAUUUUGAAGACGUGUUCUGAGAGUAUAUUUUGCUGUGGCACAAAUUCAGAUAUUCCUACACUGACAAGAAAUAUUUAAUCAUGCUAGGAAACAUCAGGACUACAAAUCCGUUGUUUGACACUUUGUAAUGUGUACUGGAUCAAUAUAUAAUAAUAAGUCAACCAGGUAUGUACAUAGCAGCCAACAGGCUGCAAAGAACGUUCACCCUCAUAGACUUGAUUUCCCGAAAUUAGUGUUACUGAAAGUUAUAAUUAAUAUUAUUUUAGUGUUUGAAUAUUCUUAUCAUGUUGCAUAUCAGAAAUAUAAUAAUCAAACUACAUCAACACUUGCAAUUUGCAGUACUUGUUAAAACAUCCAUGUCAUUCCUUUUUUUUUACGCCAUUUGUCGUUCUUUUCAAAAGAUAUUGAUGUUGUCCAAGCAACGCUUUAUGAUCAGUAGUAUGUAUAAUUAUGAUUAUAUUCAUUGAUGUUUGUUUAAAUUAUUUACACUAUUGUUUGUUUGUUUUCUGAAUGAAUACUAUGUUUAUUGAUUUUUGUAUUCAAAGUGCAGCUGGAUGUACAUAUAUGUUUAAGCACCAGUUUGUGUCUGGUUAUUUAUGUUAUGGAAAACGUACAGUGGUGUGAUUUCGGGUUUUUAAUGGACUGUGAACCAUACUAAAACACAUUGUACUGACUUUGCUUUAUGACUAGAAAAUUCAUUAUUCAUCCGUGUGUUCUUUUUAUCUUACCUCAACCUCAAUUACUUGUUUUUAGAACAAUGACACACCAUUUGCACUUCGCAUAUAUAAAUACCCAAUGCACAUUUUGAUUGAGGGAUUCUUUAAACACGGAGUUCCUCAUGUAAUCAAGUAUGUUUUGCUUCAAGCCUAUUUACGUCAGUCCUACUGUAUUUGUAUAUCAUAUUAUUAUAUUUUAAUCCUUUUGACACCACAAUGUCACGGGUCAUUUUAAGUUGUCACUGAUGAUGUCAAAGAGACAUAUGCUUUUCACAUUGAAAUUUGCUUUGUUGAGAUUAUAUAUUUUGCUGUAUAUAUCGGACAUUUUGUCUCAUAGUUUUAUUCUAUUUACAUUAGAUAGUGUGUGUUCUGGAUUAAUCCAACCAGUUCAUAUAUGAUUAUACCUUUCAGCAAGAAGCACAUCACCUCUAAUGAGUUUGGCUGUGUAUGAAUAUUGAUAAGGUCCCACCCACCCACCUUGACCCCACAGGGGGGUUGUUGUAAGUGAUGUCAGG